GACGGAGGAUGCAAGUGUUAUCCGGAAUCACUGGGCGUAAAGCGUCUGUAGGUUGUUUAAAAAGUCUGCAGUUAAAGGUUGAAGCUUAACUUCAAAAAUGGCCGUAGAAACUUUUAAAACUAGAGGAUGGUAGGGGGUAGAGGGAAAUUUCCAGGUGGAGCGGUGGAAGUGUGUAGAUAUUGGAAAGACCACCGAUGGCGAAGGCACUCUACUGGGCCAUGACUGACACUGAGAGACGAAAGCUAGGGGAGCGAAUGGGA
rnacentral:rRNA from 1 species